rfam:Sphaeroforma arctica JP610 cont1.11159, whole genome shotgun sequence.
CAACUGGUCCUUUUUAGGACCACCCUUACCAGAAAAGAAAUCUAU